rnacentral:lncRNA from 1 species
AUGGCGAAUGUCCCUAAAACCCACUGGACUUUCUGUAAGAAGUGUGGCAAGCACCAACCCCACAAAGUGACACAGUACAAGAAGGGCAAGGAUUCUCUGUAUGCCCAGGGAAAGCAGCAUUAUGACAGGAAGCAGAAUGGCUAUGAUGGGCAAACUAAGCCGAUUUUCCAGAAAAAGGCUAAAACUACAAAGAAGAUUGUGCUAAGUCUUGAGUGCAUUGAGCCCAAAUGCAGAUCUUAGAGAAUGCUGGCUAUUAAAAGAUGCAAGCAUUUUGAACUGGGAGUAGAUAAGAGAAAGGGCCAAGUGAUCCAGUUCUAA